CUUGCGAACCCUGAUGACAUCAUUACAUGUCCCCUAUGAGGCCAUCUGGUUGUCACAGGGAGGAUGAUCCAGGGGACUCGCAGGCAGGGGCACGGGACCCUCCCGAAAGGGCUCCUCUGCAGGAGGCUUCCUCCCAUCCCUGGCCUCCUGCCACGCCUCUGCACACAUUUGAAUCGGCGUUGUCUGCUCCGCUGUGACCUCGGUCAGGUCAGCUUCUGGAACUGUGCGAAAGAACAGCGUGGGCAAUGUAUUCUGGGCGACUCCCAGCCAGGCCCUCGGAAAGCCAGUCCCUGGGCCCCUGCCCCAUCAAGUGUUGCCUCCUCGGUCUCAUUCUUGGGCCUUGCUCCUGUCCCCCAGCACCCCUAGGUCCAGCGGAACCCAUACCUGCUUGUUUCCCUGCCCUCCGUCCCCUGCGGACUCCCACCCCAGGCCUCCGAGACCCCAGAGAGGAAUGCGUGCGGCCACAGCACAGAAGCCAGGAGCAGACUCUGCAGAGGGGAGACUGAUGGCAGCACCCAGGGCGGGUGGCUCCAGCAGCAGCUACCAGCGCCAGUGAGGGCCCAGCCCCCAUGACAGAGCGCUGCUGGUGGCCCGCCCACUCCAGCCCCACCUGCCAUGGGCUGUCGGUCGAGGCAGGGCUGUCUACAUGCUAUCGAGUAUCAGGUGGGAGGAAGGGAGUCUGGGGCAGGGGCCAUCGGGGGCACUUACAGGUUUGGGCUCUCGACUGAGACUCUGGGUGCUCCCAGAUGACCUCUCCAGGUGAGCCUGGGCACAUGUGGCACAAAUUGCCUCUAAGCUCUGCCAGCUCAGAACUCUCUGGGCCAGAAUGCGAUGGGCCUCACCCCCUGAGAGAGGGCGGCGGGGAGAAACUUCCCCUGCACUCAAUCCCGUCUCUCUGCUUCCCUUCAAGUGGGGGCAGUGGCCGUGGCUCCCUGCAGCUCCGCAGUGCAGCUGGGCCUUUGUUUGCAGCUCUGGAGAAAGGGGAGACACAGGAUAGUGGGGGUGGCCUAGCCCCAGCCCUGCCCAGGGGCCUCUGAGAGUUGAGCCUGGGCUGCAUUCUCAGCUGCACUCCGCUGGACUGCACUAGACGGCAGACACCAAAGUGAUCCGAGCUCUCCCCUGUGCCGGGGCUGCCUCCUCCCUC
rnacentral:lncRNA from 1 species